rnacentral:rRNA from 1 species
CCUACGGGUGGCUGCAGUGGGGAAUAUUGCUCAAUGGGCGCAAGCCUGAUGCGGCCAUGCCGCGUGUGUGAAGAAGGCCUUCGGGUUGUAAAGCACUUUCAGCGGGGAGGAAGGCGGUGAGGUUAAUAACCUCAUCGAUUGACGUUACCCGCAGAAGAAGCACCGGCUAACUCCGUGCCAGCAGCCGCGGUAAUACGGAGGGUGCAAGCGUUAAUCGGAAUUACUGGGCGUAAAGCGCACGCAGGCGGUCUGUCAAGUCGGAUGUGAAAUCCCCGGGCUCAACCUGGGAACUGCAUUCGAAACUGGCAGGCUAGAGUCUUGUAGAGGGGGGUAGAAUUCCAGGUGUAGCGGUGAAAUGCGUAGAGAUCUGGAGGAAUACCGGUGGCGAAGGCGGCCCCCUGGACAAAGACUGACGCUCAGGUGCGAAAGCGUGGGGAGCAAACAGGAUUAGAUACCCUUGUAGUC